rnacentral:rRNA from 1 species
CCUACGGGAGGCAGCAGUGAGGAAUAUUGGUCAAUGGACGAAAGUCUGAACCAGCCAAGUAGCGUGCAGGAUGACUGCCCUAUGGAUUGUAAACCUCUUUUGUCGGGGAGCAACGAGGCCACGUGUUGCCGAACUGAGAGUACCCGAAGAAAAAGCAUCGGCUAACUCCGUGCCAGCAGCCGCGGUAAUACGGAGGCUCCGAGCGUUAUCCGGAUUUAUUGGGUUUAAAGGGUGCGUAGGCGGAACAUUAAGUCAGAGGUAAAAUCGAGGGGCUCAACCCCGUUAAGCCGUUGAAACUGGUGAUCUUGAGAGUGCGAGAGGUAUGCGGAAUGCGUGGUGUAGCGGUGAAAUGCAUAGAUAUCACGCAGAACUCCGAUUGCGAAGGCAGCAUACCGGCGCCCGACUGACGCUGAGGCACGAAAGCGUGGGGAUCGAACAGGAUUAGAUACCCUAGUAGUC